rnacentral:misc_RNA from 1 species
UUUUUGAUCAAAAAGUUCAGUACUAAACUGAUAAAAGGAACACAAUGUACUUGAAGAACAUGAAAACAAACACAAGAAUCCCAGUAGCAAAAGUUCACAAAAGCUUUUUCCUAGAUACAACUUCCUCACCCUUUCUCCCUCUAAUACAGGCCUUCUGUAGAUUUCACUCCAAGAAAGUCUCCAUGACAUCCGUAUACAUCCCUGCUUCGGAAUUCCUGUACUCAGCAGGUUGUUGCUGAUGUGGAUCAAUUGAAGUGGAAGAAGACAAUGUGGCCAUUCUUGCAGGCAAAGUAAAGCUCCUUUCGAACUUGUUUUCCAUUUUUCGUGCACUAUCUGGAUGGCUGUCCAAGCUCAAGAACUCGUUGGGAUUUGCACUGCUUGCACUAUGGUGGUUUUGGUCUGCUUUGUUCCCCAAGCCCUCAGGGUUAAACAAAAGCUUGGCAUCAUUAGUUCUUCCGGUUAAAGCAUUGAAGAGAGACAACCCAUUAGGCCAUUUAAUGUCAUUUUCAGGCUCUCCUAUCAUUUCUUCCAUUCGGGUUUCUGCUGAAUGAGGAAGGAUGAACAUAUGGGGCUCAUAUCUUUUGAUUGUGGAAAUCCAAGUCUAGCUGCUGGGUUUUGAAAAUUUGGCGAAGAAAGCAUAGAAGCUGCAGAUGGGAGUGGCAUUUGACCCCUGUUGAAGAGAGGUG